rnacentral:rRNA from 1 species
AACGGACGCUGGCGGCAUGCCUAACACAUGCAAGUCGAACGAAGGCUUCGGCCUUAGUGGCGCACGGGUGCGUAACGCGUGGGAAUCUGCCCUUUGGUUCGGAAUAACAGCUGGAAACGGCUGCUAAUACCGGAUGAUGACGAAAGUCCAAAGAUUUAUCGCCAGAGGAUGAGCCCGCGUUGGAUUAGGUAGUUGGUGGGGUAAAGGCCUACCAAGCCGACGAUCCAUAGCUGGUCUGAGAGGAUGAUCAGCCACACUGGGACUGAGACACGGCCCAGACUCCUACGGGAGGCAGCAGUGGGGAAUAUUGGACAAUGGGCGCAAGCCUGAUCCAGCAAUGCCGCGUGAGGGAUGAAGGCCCUAGGGUUGUAAAGCUCUUUUACCCGGGAAGAUAAUGACUGUACCGGGAGAAUAAGCCCCGGCUAACUCCGUG